AUUUUGAUUUCAAAUUAAACAUUAUCUGAAUAACCACUACAUUGAGAUGUGUUUUAUGCUCAUCCAAGUAGAACAGGCAGUACCUGUUCUGAUUUAUUGAAUUUUGCCUUAGGUCAUUAUAAUUAAACUUUUGUAAAUAGGUUUGAAAGUGUUCGAAGUUCCUAUUGGUUUUAGUGUUGUUAGCUGGUGUUUUAUUGGUCAGUUCUUUUUCCCUCCAAAAGUUCUUGGUGGUGUUCAGUCAUUCUUUGUCUAGUUGGUUUAUAGAGAAGUUGGUGAAAAUAUAUGACAGAUAUUUGACUGUUGACUGAUCAUUUCUUUAACAAGGUAAGCUUAUUUUCUAACUUUAAUAUUAUUUCUAAUUUGCAGUAAACGUAAUAAUUUGGUAGAUUUAAUUCCAUAGCACUUGCACAGUGAGAAAGAUAUUUUGUGAGGCAUAAAUCAGUUAGCUUGAAAUAAGUUAAAUUUAUGUGUUUCACAGAUUUGGUAUACUGUAUUUUUAAAUACAUGCUUGAUAUUUUUAUGAUGCAAGUUUAUUUAUGUAAACUUCAUAAUUUACAGUCAAUCUCCAUGGACAUUUUUGUUAAAUGAGGGAUUAUUGCCACAUCACUUAUUCCCAUAGAAUGAGUGUCAUACACAUACAUAUACAUGUAUAUCUAAAGCUUAGAUUCUGGCAAUAAAAUGGAGGUGAUCGACAUCUAAGAACCCAUACAGGACUUUGUUGUUUAAUUCGACAGAAACCCUGUUACAAAAUGGCGCCCACGUUGGGACUCCUCCACCUGUAAAAUCCCUAGAGGACUUUUCUGGAAAAACAACAGUCUGCGGAGGUGACGAGUGUUCGAAUAGUAAGACCGGUCCUUGGCUUUGGUGCAGUGUGCUACGUUCAGGAGACGACCUACAUAACUGUCACGCGUGAAUGGACACAACUGUACAUUGUUUUGGAACAUCGUCCUAGACUUACUUCGUCAAUAUUCAUUUUGGAUAUUAUAUUUGUGACGCAUGUUGUAAGCAUUGUGUGUUAUAUGUGCUGUGUGAUGUGUGUUUUCAUUCUUUGUGUUUGUGCAAUUUUGGUUUACGUCACGUGACAUCUGAAUCAGCUGAUCGUCAAUCUCCAUGGACAUUUUUGUUAAAUGAGGGAUUAUUGCCACAUCACUUAUUCCCAUAGAAUGAGUGUCAUACACAUACAUAUACAUGUAUAUCUAAAGCUUAGAUUCUGGCAAUAAAAUGGAGGUGAUCGACAUCUAAGAACC